rnacentral:rRNA from 1 species
AGAGUUUGAUCCUGGCUCAGGAUGAACGCUAGCGGCAGGCUUAAUACAUGCAAGUCGUGGGGCAGCACAGGUAGCAAUACUGGGUGGCGACCGGCAAACGGGUGCGGAACACGUACGCAACCUUCCUUUAAGCGGGGGAUAGCCCAGGGAAACUUGGAUUAAUACCCCAUAAGACAAUAGGAUGGCAUCAUUCAGUUGUUAAAGCUCCGGCACUUAAAGAUGGGCGUGCGGCUGAUUAGGUAGUUGGCGGGGUAACGGCCCACCAAGCCAACGAUCAGUAACUGGUGUGAGAGCACGACCAGUCACACGGGCACUGAGACACGGGCCCGACUCCUACGGGAGGCAGCAGUAAGGAAUAUUGGUCAAUGGACGCAAGUCUGAACCAGCCAUGCCGCGUGGAGGAUGAAGGCCCUCUGGGUUGUAAA